UGGCGAACGGGUGAGUAAUACGUGAGUAAUCUACCUUUAACUCUGGGAUAAGCCUGGGAAACUGGGUCUAAUACCGGAUACGACCAAUCUCCGCAUGGGGUGUUGGUGGAAAGCGUUAUGUAGUGGUUAUAGAUGGGCUCACGGCCUAUCAGCUUGUUGGUGAGGUAACGGCUCACCAAGGCGACGACGGGUAGCCGGCCUGAGAGGGUGACCGGCCACACUGGGACUGAGACACGGCCCAG
rnacentral:rRNA from 1 species